rnacentral:rRNA from 1 species
CCUACGGGUGGCAGCAGUAGGGAAUCUUCCACAAUGGACGAAAGUCUGAUGGAGCAACGCCGCGUGAGUGAAGAAGGGUUUCGGCGCGUAAAGCUCUGUUGGUAGGGAAGAAAGAUAGAGGUAGUAACUGGCCUUGAGUUGACGGUAAUUACGGAGAAAGUCACGGCUAACUACGUGCCAGCAGCCGCGGUAAGACGUAGGUGGCAAGCGUUGUCCGGCUUUAUGGGGCGUAAAGCGAGUGCAGGCGGUUCAAUAAGUCUGAUGUGAAAGCCUUCGGCUCCACCGGAGAAUUGCAUCCGAAACUGUUGAACUUGUGUGCAGCAGAGGAGAGUGGAACUCCAUGUGUAGCGG